UACGUAGGGACCAAGCGUUGUUCGGAUUUACUGGGCGUAAAGGGCGCGUAGGCGGCAAUUCAAGUCAUCUGUGAAAUCUCCGGGCUUAACUCGGAAUGGUCAGGUGAUACUGCUUUGCUAGAGUGCAGAAGGGGCAAUCGGAAUUCUUGGUGUAGCGGUGAAAUGCGUAGAUAUCAAGAGGAACACCUGAGGUGAAGACGGGUUGCUAGGCUGACACUGACGCUGAGGCGCGAAAGCCAGGGGAGCAAACAGG
rnacentral:rRNA from 1 species